rnacentral:rRNA from 1 species
GCGGCGCUGCUUUACACAUGCAAUCUCACGGGGGUCCCGCAAGGGAUAACCGGCUUCACGGGUGCGUAACACGUGAGCAACCUGCCUUUGUGUGGGGGAUAGCCGGGCUAACGCCCGGGUAAUACCGCAUACGGUCAUUUGGGGGAGUCCCUAGAUGAAGAAACCUCCGGGGCACAAAGAGGGGCUCGCGGCCUAUCAGCUAGUUGGCGGGGUAAUGGCCCACCAAGGCGACGACGGGUAGCUGGUCUGAGAGGAUGGCCAGCCACAUUGGGACUGAGAGACGGCCCAGACUCCUACGGGAGGCAGCAGUGGGGAAUCUUGCGCAAUGGCCGAAAGGCUGACGCAGCGACGCCGCGUGUGGGAGGACGCCUUUCGGGGUGUAAACCACUGUUGCCCGGGACGAACAGCCACUUUCGAGUGGCCUGACGGUACCGGGUGAGGAAGCACCGGCUAACUCCGUGCCAGCAGCCGCGGUAAUACGGAAGGUGCGAGCGUUGUCCAGAAUCAUUGGGCGUAAAAGGCGCGUAAGUGGACUGGAUCAGUUCGUGGUGAAAGCGCGGGGCUCAACCCGCGUCCGCCAUGAAUACUGCUAAGCUUGAGCACUGUAAAGGCAGGCGGAAAUUCCCGGUGUAACGGUGGAAUGCCUAAAAAUCC